UAUUGGACAAUGGGGGAAACCCUGAUCCAGCGACGCCGCGUGAGUGAAGAAGUAUUUCGGUAUGUAAAGCUCUAUCAGCAGGGAAGAAAGAAAUGACGGUACCUGAGUAAGAAGCCCCGGAUAACUACGUGCCAGAAGCCGCGGUAAUACGUAGGGGGCAAGCGUUAUCCGGAAUUACUGGGUGUAAAGGGAGCGUAGACGGCAGCGCAAGUCUGGAGUGAAAUGCCGGGGCCCAACCCCGGAACUGCUUUGGAAACUGUGCGGCUCGAGUGCGGGAGAGGUAGGCGGAAUUCCUAGUGUAGCGGUGAAAUGCGAAGAUAUUAGGAGGAACACCAGUGGCGAAGGCGGCUUACUGGACCGUAACUGACGUUGAGGCUCGAAAGCGUGGGGAGCAAACA
rnacentral:rRNA from 1 species